GAUGAACGCUGGCGGCGUGCCUAAUACAUGCAAGUCGAGCGAACGGACGAGGAGCUUGCUCCUCUGACGUUAGCGGCGGACGGGUGAGUAACACGUGGAUAACCUACCUAUAAGACUGGGAUAACUUCGGGAAACCGGAGCUAAUACCGGAUAAUAUAUUGAACCGCAUGGUUCAAAAGUGAAAGACGGUUUUGCUGUCACUUAUAGAUGGAUCCGCGCUGCAUUAGCUAGUUGGUAAGGUAACGGCUUACCAAGGCGACGAUGCGUAGCCGACCGGAGAGGGUGAUCGGCCACACUGGAACUGAGACACGGUCCAGACUCCUACGGGAGGCAGCAGUAGGGAAUCUUCCGCAAUGGGCGAAAGCCUGACGGAGCAACGCCGCGUGAGUGAUGAAGGUCUUCGGAUCGUAAAACUCUGUUAUUAGGGAAGAACAUAUGUGUAAGUAACUGUGCACGUCUUGACGGUACCUAAUCAGAAAGCCACGGCUAACUACGUG
rnacentral:rRNA from 1 species